UACACUAUAAUGAUGCAAGU
rnacentral:snRNA from 1 species